GGAAUAUUGGACAAUGGGCGCAAGCCUGAUCCAGCCAUGCCGCGUGAGUGAUGAAGGCCUUAGGGUUGUAAAGCUCUUUCAGUAGGGAAGAUAAUGACGGUACCUACAGAAGAAGCCCCGGCUAACUUCGUUCCAGCAGCCGCGGUAAUACGAAGGGGGCUAGCGUUGUUCGGAAUUACUGGGCGUAAAGCGCGCGUAGGCGGACAUCUAAGUCAGGGGUGAAAUGCCAAGGCUCAACCUUGGAACUGCCCUUGAUACUGGGUGUCUGGAGUUCGGGAGAGGUGAGUGGAAUUCCGAGUGUAGAGGUGAAAUUCGUAGAUAUUCGGAGGAACACCAGAAGCGAAGGCGGCUCACUGGCCCGAUACUGACGCUGAGGCGCGAAAGCGUGGGGAGCA
rnacentral:rRNA from 1 species